GCUCAGCGGUUAAGAGCACUGGCUGCUCUUCCAGAGGACCUGGGUUCAAUUCCCAG
rfam:Cricetulus griseus cell line CHO-K1, whole genome shotgun sequence.